GAGGUGAAGGACGCCGUUAAAGCGGACACCACAUAGACAGCGAAGAAGAACACAAAGCUGCUGGUGACGACGGCAAGUUUUGUUGAGUUCUACGGAAGUCAAUUCAUAUCAUAACUGCAUGAAAAUGGGAAAAACCACAACUUCACAGGCUGUGGCAGUGUGUCAUCCUUUGGUGGAAUGGAUUGAAGACCUCGUGGAAUGUAUGGAACGCUUUUCCUGAAAUUACAGGCACCUUUAUUUCCCUUCGCUUGUCCACCACUUGAAAUCGCCAAUGCACAGAUUCAUCAGCUUCAUUAUACAUUGCCUCAGGUUUGGUGCAGUGUUGGGGAGUCCACACAAUCUCCGGAUGGCCUUGACUAGCAGCGCUUCCUCGUCCAAUUCACCAAGUCUUGGCUACGAUAACAGGGGCAAGAACCCUGAACUGAUAAUGACCAUAACUUGCGAAAGGUGCCCAGAUCACCCAAACUCUGUUUGUGUUAAUAAUAACAACACUAUGCUUUAAUGUGUUAUGUUGUUCUGUUUAUUUAGUUAUUUAUUUAUCUCGAGUAUCAGACUCUUUCCUGUUUAGUUCAUCUUGCAUAUAUGUACAGUACAUACAGUUUGAUAAAAUAUAUACAUGCAGAUAUAUGUACAGUAUAUACAGUUUGAUAAAAUAUAUACAUGCAGAUAUAUGUACAGUAUAUACAGUUUGAUAACUUUUUAAAUUAAAAAUAUAUACAUGCAGAUAUAUGUACGAAAGAAAUAAACUUAACUGAACUUAAGAGCCCCGUCCACAGUAGUCCCCAGAUUAGAUUGUUUCAGUCUGGCAGGAAGCCAAAUAUUUGGAACAAGCCGUAAGAAAAGAAGUUGAGUAUUGUUGAUCGUUUCUGAGAAGAGGUACGUGCUAUACAUACCAUGUAAUGGAACAUACCUAGAAGAGGUACGUGCUAUACAUACCAUGUAAUGGAACAUACCUAGAAGAGGUACGUGCUAUACAUACC